CUUCUGGCUUCUCAACCGCACAUGGCCUUCACUGGCCUCUUUGGGUAGGCUCUGACUCCACCUUAUUCUGUAUUCUGGUAGAAGAGACAGUGUUCUGGAAGAUUUCGUUAUGUCAAAACACCCAGCACAGGGCUAAUACACCUGUGGAGGGGUCGUCCUAUGGAGGUGGGUAUGGUGGGAGAAGAGACACCUGCGUUCUCCUCUAAAUAGACAUGCCUUGCUGUGCCCUUAGGAGCUUAAAGGGAGAAAUGAGUGAGUAAAAGUAACGCAUGAUAACCAGUGCUUCAGGUAGAGAGAGCUUCUUAUUCAUGGGCGCGGGUUGUUAACAGUUUAAGAUGGGGCGGAGUGACUGUUCCAUGCUUUUCAAAUUAUAUCCCCUAAAAGGAAGACAGAGGACAGGUGAUGGAAGCAAAAAAGGAUGCUAGUCAGUUUUCUUUACUACUUCAUCUCUUUUGGACGAAAGGUACUAGGUGUUUUGGUUUCUAAAGCCAGCUACCCCAUCUAAGGAUGAAGAUCUGGCCUCAGUCUUUCUCUCCAGCCUAAUCUCCUACAACCUCCUGGUAAAUAUCUUCCCCAACAGGCGAACCAAUUAAUCAUCCCAGAGCAUGGUUUGCCUUUUUUUUUUUUUUUUUGAUACUGCUGUCCUGAUCUAUUCUCUUGUUUUCAGAAUGUUCCUCACUAGCCCAGCCUAGUCCAGUUCAAAUCUCACCUCUCCCAUGAAGCCUUCUUUGACUAAUGCUUUUGCGGAAAGAACUCCAGGAACCUGGAAGAUUUCUACUUCCCAAGAUAUCAAUUGGAGUUGACUUGAUUACCUCUGCUCUGUUUCCUCGUGGGAGAUCAUUGGCUCCAGGUUCUUCUCAGGAAUGAAUGGAGUCCCCUGGAUAAAAGGGAAGGGCUUCUCUGCUGAAAGAAGAGUCAGUUCUCACAAACCAUGUUAGAGGGUGUCUUUCCCAGCAUCAGACCGGGUGCAUCCUUGAGCUGGGAACGGAGGUUUCUGGGCUGUCUCAUUCUUCGCAUAAGGGCCCCUUUGGAUUGUCUUCAUUCGCUGUUUGAGGGCAAGGUGGUCUCAUGCCCAUUACCCAGGGACCAUGGAGUGUGCAGUGCGGGUCCUGGUACGGCCUUGGAGGAGCUCUUCCACCCAGUUUACCUACUAUUGGGGUUUUGCUUGUGCCUUUUGCCAAGAGAAGUUUAUGCCAUGGUGUGCUCUUGGAAGGCAAAGAUGUGGCUUCCUGACGAGCUCAGUGGAUUUGGGGGAAAACAACCUUACAACAGGCAACCAUUUCUGGAUAUUUCCUUUAGGACUCCAAUAAAGAACAUUAAACCAGCUCAUGGUAAUUAGAAAAACCAUGAAGUCUGCAGGUGGACUUCAAAGACGAUCCAUUUCAGUAGUGUACAAGCUUUUUUUUUUUAAGCUUUAGACCUUCCUCAAAUGAAAGCUUACCUGGAAGCCUGUAAGUUGAACUUGGAGUAAGUUUUGAAGUGGAGUGUGGUGCCCAGAGUCUUGUAUUCUUUCUUCUACAGGAGCUCUGAGAACCUCCUAGCGCUUCUUGGAAAACACUUUGAGAACCAAUAUUGGUGGUUGUAGGAGACAAGUGUCAUUCAUUUUGGUGACCCAGGAUCUAAAGUGGCUUUCCACUCCCCGG
rnacentral:lncRNA from 1 species